CCUGGACAUCUGAUGGACUUCAGAACUCUCCAAGUUCAACCCAAUUGACAGAGAGACUGGAGAACAAAGUGCACAGCAGGAAACCGGAUGAACGGAUAAGAAGAGAGAGAGGUCUUGACUGGGAUCUGCUGUUGCUGCUUUUGAAGGCCGACGUCCAAUUACUCAUGGAAACACCUUCCUUAACAUAUGUUUAGACAUUUGUGCCUGUGCUUUGAAUGAAUGUGUGAUCUGUGUACGCAUGCAACACACAAUACACAUGACAAAUACACUGCCAAUAAACACCCA